CCUACGGGGGACUGCAGUGGGGAAUAUUGGGCAAUGGGCGCAAGCCUGACCCAGCAACGCCGCGUGAAGGAAGAAGGCUUUCGGGUUGUAAACUUCUUUUCUCAGGGACGAAGCAAGUGACGGUACCGGAGGAAUAAGCCACGGCUAACUACGUGCCAGCAGCCGCGGUAAUACGUAGGUGGCAAGCGUUAUCCGGAUUUACUGGGUGUAAAGGGCGUGUAGGCGGGAAAGCAAGUCAGAUGUGAAAACCAUGGGCUCAACCUGUGGCCUGCAUUUGAAACUGUUUUUCUUGAGUACUGGAGAGGCAGACGGAAUUCCUAGUGUAGCGGUGAAAUGCGUAGAUAUUAGGAGGAACACCAGUGGCGAAGGCGGUCUGCUGGACAGCAACUGACGCUGAGGCGCGAAAGCGUGGGGAGCAAACAGGAUUAGAUACCCCAGUAGUC
rnacentral:rRNA from 1 species